rnacentral:rRNA from 1 species
AGGGCACCACCAGGAGUGGAGCCUGCGGCUUAAUUUGACUCAACACGGGAAAACUCACCCGGCCCGGACACCGUAAGGAUUGACAGACUGAGAGCUCUUUCUUAAUUCGGGGGGUGGUGGUGCAUGGCCGUUCUUAGUUGGUGGAGCGAUUUGUCUGGUUAAUUCCGAUAACGAACGAGACUCUGGCCUAUUAAAUAGACGAUAUAUCUAUCUAGUAUAUCGCGCUUCUUAGAGGGACAAGCGGCGUCCAGCCGCAUGAAAUAAAGCAAUAACAGGUCUGUGAUGCCCUUAGAUGUCCGGGGCUGCACGCGCGCUACACUGAAAGAAUCAGCGUGCGUUUUACCUAGCUCGGAAGAACCGGGUAACCCAAGUAAAUUCUUUCGUGCUUGGGAUAGGGAAUUGCAAUUAUUUCCCUUGAACGAGGAAUUCCCAGUAAAUGCGGGUCAUAAGCUCGCGUUGAUUACGUCCCUGCCCUUUGUACACACCGCCCGUCGCUACUACCGAUUGAAUGACUUAGUG